UUAUAGUUGCUCAGGCACUUUGUUGACUCUAGAGAACCUCGGGCCAAUCACACAUCCCCGUGGCGGUGACUUUGCAUGCGGAUGUCAUCGAUAUCAACUUUCGAUGCCAGUUUCUGUGCCUACCAUGGUGACCACGGGUAACAGGGAAUCAGGGUUCCAUUCCAUACAUGGACCCUGAGAAACGGCUACCACAUUCAAGGAAGGCAGCAGGCACGCAAAUCACCCACUCCCGACGCAGAAAGGUAGUGAUGA